rnacentral:rRNA from 1 species
GACAGAGGCCCCAAGCGUUAGGCGGAAUCACUGGGCUUAAAGCGUGUGUAGGCGGAUCGUUAAGUGUCUUGUGAAAUCCCACGGCUCACCCGUGGAACUGCUGGGCAUACUGGCGAUCUUGGGCCAACUAGGGGCAGUCGGAACAAGCGGUGGAGCGGUGAAAUGCGUAGAUAUCGCUUGGAACGCCGAAGGUGAAAACAGCCUGCUGGGGUUGCGCCGACGCUGAGACACGAAAGCCAGGGGAGCAAACGGG